AAUAUCAGUAUUUUUGUGGCAAUUCCCACAGAAUGGUACAAAGAGGGCCAGAUGACACCUGAACCCACAGUGGGUUGAGUUGCAGGAGAUAGACCCUGAGCUUAGGGGACCUGAAUCUUUUAUAAUGGGCAAUAAACAUGCCUACCCUUCACUCUGGAGAGAGACAUGAUCUCUAUCUUCCAAGGCUUAGAAACAUCCUUGAAAAGAUAGUCCAAAACAAAAGGCAGUCAGUGCAUUGCUCAACAAGAUGUGCAGAAACUCGAGCCCCAUGGAGAACUAUCUCAACAACAGAUUGCAGUCACUUAUAGCCAGUUCUUAACUGACGUAUCUUUGAAGCUGUGUGUCUACACUGGGAAUAUCCAGAGGAUCGAUGAGUAAUACAUUCAACCGGUAUAGGUCGACCAAUUGAUUCGAGAUUUUGACUCAGCAGUGAAAGUCAUUUGCUUGCCUCAUUCCUUCUGUAGCAGAAUUUUACUUCCCAAACAUCCAGGUCCUGUAUGCACAGUUGGACUCCUCAGAUACCGGCUGAACAAAGUCGAUUCCUUUGUAGCUUCUUUAGAAAGACAACCAUAUCCUGGCAAAUUGAAACCAACAGAUUGUCCCUUAUGUAUGUAUCUUGCAAACAUAAACAUAUCUAAAAGCACCUAAACAGAGAAUGAAACCGAGACAGAGAGGUCCUACAGAUCUGUGCAAUGCAAAGUGGGAUCUGCAGACCAGCAGAAGAACUAUCACCUGGGAGCCUCUGAGCGCAAUGCAGAAUCUCAGGCUGCACCUGGGAUCUGCAGACCAGCAGAAGAACUGUCACCUGGGAGCCUCUGAGCGCAAUGCAGAAUCUCAGGCUGCACCUGGGAUCUGCAGACCAGCAGAAGAACUGUCACCUGGGAGCCUCUGAGCGCAAUGCAGAAUCUCAGGCUGCACCUGGGAUCUGCAGACCAGCAGAAGAACUGUCACCUGGGAGCCUCUGAGCGCAAUGCAGAAUCUCAGGCUGCACCUGGGAUCUACAGACCAGCAGAAGAACUGUCACCUGGGAGCCUCUGAGCGCAAUGCAGAAUCUCAGGCUGCACCUGGGAUCUGCAGACCAGCAGAAGAACUGUCACCUGGGAGCCUCUGAGCGCAAUGCAGAAUCUCAGGCUGCACCUGGGAUCUGCAGACCAGCAGAAGAACUGUCACCUGGGAGCCUCUGAGCGCAAUGCAGAAUCUCAGGCUGCACCUGGGAUCUGCAGACCAGCAGAAGAACUGUCACCUGGGAGCCUCUGAGCGCAAUGCAGAAUCUCAGGCUGCACCUGGGAUCUGCAGACCAGCAGAAGAACUAUCACCUGGGAGCCUCUGAGCGCAAUGCAGAAUCUCAGGCUGCACUUGGCAUCUGCAGGAUUUGGAUCUGCAUUUUAACAAGAUCUGCAGGUGAUUGGUAUGCACCUUAGAGCUCGAAAAGAGGCUGCUAUAGAGAACCCUUGGUAAGAACAACAGGAAGAGGAGGUCUAAGACGCCAUUUGGUCUCUCCCCAUAAGUCUUAACUGAUGUUAUACCCUGCUAGGUAGCACUUCCCUCCACAUUCAGAAGAGGGGGCUCCUGUAUUUGUUGACUUGUGCUUCAUAGGAAUCCUUAAUAGAAGUGGAAUCAGUCAUUGUUCACAUAUUACUGCUCCUCAAUAUCUUCGGCCACCAGGCUUGCUUUAGCUAAUAGAUUCUAAAGGGAUGAGAUUAUGACCAUGUUAGAUCCAUUAACAUUUAUAUCUCCCACCGGCAGUAGACAUAGAUAGGCUUGCAAUUCAUUUAUUCCUCAAUGAUUUCACUGAGGAUCCAGGCAUUGAGUGAGGCCCUGAAGAUAAAAAGAUGAACAGAAGAUGGCCCUUGCCAAGCUUGAUGCAGAAGGCGGGUGUAAGAAAUAGAUCAUUACAGUCCAACAUGCGAGCAAAAUGACGGGAUUUUGAACUCCACAGUGAAAUUGCUGAUGAAGGUCAUCUUUCCCUUUCCUGCUUUAUAGAAAAGAAGACCCCAAGAAGAGGGGCAUAAAGGGACACCCAUGGAAGACCUUUGUGAGUCUGACUCACAAGACCCCUUCUCCUGUGUACAGCCUUUUUUUCUCAGGCAAGCACAACUGCUUCCUACACCCUUAUUAACCCUUAAUGCCAAGGAUCAAAAGUGAUGUCUUUUAAAUUUAUUUCGCCCUUAACUGAGAUCUAUAGCUUGCCUUGAGUUUAUUCUUCCUGCAAUUUCUCGACUUAGGUUUUUCUAAAUACUUCACAGCAUCUCUACUACAAUGAGAUCUGAAAACAAAGAAAUAAACCUUAUCGGUGAUUUCUGCCAAUAUCUGGCAAUACCGUGGAAGAGAUGUUUUGAUUAGGCAAUUUUCAUUACUAAAAGCACUAUAGCACAAU